GCUGGCGGCAGGCUUAACACACGCAAGUCGAACGAUAAGCUAGACUUCGGUUUAGUGGACAGUGGCAGACGGGUGAGUAACGCGUGGGAAUCUACCUUAGAGUGGGGAAUAACAAUUAGAAAUGAUUGCUAAUACCGCAUAUACCCUUCGGGGGAAAGGCUUCGGCCGCUCUUAGAUGAGCCCGCGUACGAUUAGUUUGUUGGUGAGGUAAAGGCUCACCAAGACUACGAUCGUUAGCUGGUUUGAGAGGAUGAUCAGCCACACUGGGACUGAGACACGGCCCAGACUCCUACGGGAGGCAGCAGUGGGGAAUAUUGGACAAUGGGCGAAAGCCUGAUCCAGCCAUGCCGCGUGAGUGAAGAAGGCCUUAGGGUUGUAAAACUCUUUCGACAGGGAAGAUAAUGACGGUACCUGUAGAAGAAGCUCCGGCUAACUCCGUGCCAGCAGCCGCGGUAAUACGGAGGGGGCAAGCGUUGCUCGGAAUUACUGGGCGUAAAGCGAGCGUAGGCGG
rnacentral:rRNA from 1 species